rnacentral:lncRNA from 1 species
GUUUCAUGCUCCUGCCGGUUCUUUGAAGUGGGAAAAGCCUGAAAGGCCCAAGGAGCUGACUUACCACAUGACCUCCACAAUCACGAAAGUCUGCUCUGCUGAGCUUGCAGCCCGGGCUUCUGUCGAUGCCGAAUACUUCGGUUAGGCAGGCACUCCACAUCUUCUGGGCGGGUUUGGAACAGUGUCUCUUAGGCUUUGGGGAUUUAGUAGCGCUGCUUGUUAGUAGCCUAAGGGCUCUGCUUUUUGUCGCUGUUGUCCUGUGCUGCUUGAUUAAAGGCCAGACCUGAGCGACAGCAUUUACUGAUUUCAGGAGUAAGUAAGCAAGUAGUGAUGGUGGGCUCGGACCCUCCGCACUGAUGCUGUUCCCAGUGCAGGUCAGUGGUGGCACCCGUCUGGGCCUGGUGUGUGCAGGGCUGGGCCUGUGGGACUGAGCCAGCACAGAGACCGGGGCGGCUAUUGAGCAGGAGGUGGCAUGAGGUGGAGGAAAACUACCGCGGCGAUAACGUGUGUGGGGGGGAAAAACAGAUCUAAGCAGUAAAUGAAAUGGAAAAAAUAGCAGUGGGAACAGAGACGAAUCGGUAGGACUUGAGCACUUGUAAGAAACAAGCUGCUAGGUCCAGUGUCAGCGAGGCAUGCAUUAAGCGGACUGAGUGGGAAGUUAAUAACAGAGGUGGCCGGUAUUGCUGAGAGGGGACCUGGUGUGCUCUUUGUGUUAUGAUUCAUUGAAAGGACCAGGGGUCAAUUUUUCUAGAGAUAUUUUUCUUAGAAAAGAAGCUGUAAAGCCCUGUGAUUGUCAGAUCAGGUAUACCAACAGUUACUGCCAUUAAGUAUAUGGUAAUAUGUAGUCAGAUCACCAUAGGGAGUUCUGAUAACAUAAUCAACCAAAAAAGCAGCUUAACUAAUGGUCCGUGCAUUGUAGUUGCUUAUAUCGAGCGCUAUAAUAAAUACAAAAUUUGUAAAUUUACUUCUGCUAAGAGAUCCCAGCUCAUUAAAUGUGCGGCACCCCAGGAGCUGCUUUUAUUCAGCUCACCUGUGUUACAGGCUGGCACGCAGCGCAGCUGCUCUCACAGAGCAGUAGCUGUCGGUGGGUCAGACUCCUGGGAGAUAACAGUCUAUGGUUGUAAAUGGGAAUUUGGGUGCCCUAUUGAAAACUUUUAUGCAGAAAUGUCCUAAAGAUGUGAUCCAGCUUUUACCAAGAAGCUGUAUUCAGAACGUUGUCCCAGAAG